rnacentral:miRNA from 1 species
UCUCUUGUCUUUUUCAUAUCAUUUUUUUGAGACAGUGUCUCUCUGUGUAGUUCAAGCUGGCUUUGAAUUCACUAUGUAGCCCAAGCUGGCCUCAAACUCAUGGCAGUCCUCCUGCUUCAGCUUC